rnacentral:misc_RNA from 1 species
UCGUUUAACCCGACUCGUUAAGUUAUAAUGUCGCUGGAGCUUAUUGUGUCAUCGUCUUCAAGUAGUCAGACUGUUUUGCUGUAUAUGUAGUUGUUUAUUGUAGUGAAUUUAAGAAGUUAUUAGAAAUUAGUGAAAUGUUGUAGCGUGAAGGAAAUAUCGAACAUAUCCGUACGGAAUGAAAUUCUCCUAAAUCUAUGGUUUUAUAUGGGCAGAUUAUUGAUAGAGCAACAAUAAUGAAGUAGAGAACACUUGAUAUGCAACAGAACUAUUUAACUUAGUUGCUGUAAUUUUCUUAAUACCUUUUAUUCCUGCUAAUUCAAUGUGCGUGGGUAAUCGUUAAAUCGUUUAAAGAGUGUGACAAAUUUAGUCGAUUACCAUAAGUUGGUGGAAGAGUUGGCUAAUAUAUUUCUAAACCAAAACAUGGCUGAUAACUCAUCGUCUUGGGACGACGACCCACAUCUAGAGAAACCUGGUAGGGACUGGCUGGAAUACCUAGCCCUAGCAACAGACUACUUCAGCAUCCCCCUAUGUUUCAUCUCCGUCUUAUGUGACAUCCUCCUCAUAGCCGUAAUAUUGAAGUACAGAAGACUUAAAAACAGAACCAACUUCUACCUAUUAAACUUUGCAAUUUUCCACAUUGUUUACAUAUUGUCCACACCUAUCUUCUAUUGUAUAAUAGAUCUAUUUUACCCAUCAGGUCUAGAAAUACGUUGGUACUGUACUUGGUCGAGGAUAGAAAACUUUGGAAUGGCUUUAGUCUUGACUUUUAUUGCUGGAUAUGGUGUCGAUGUGGUGGUUGAAAGCCAACAAGCCAACUGGUUUCCAAAAUACGAAAGGAGAUAUUUUUAUCUGUUUUCCUUUUUUUACUUUUUCCAUGUGAUGAUUUUCGCCAUUUCCGCCAGCAUUUGUUUCAAAAGCGGCCUUCGAAACAACUUCAAUUUUUACUUUUUAACCAUCUACUAUCUCGUUACUGUAAUUUUUCUACUGUAUCUUGGCAUUAGUAACAAAGAUGGCAAACUGGUUAAAACAAAGUCAUACGCUCUAAACAUAUCUAUAGUUAUAUUACUCCUAUGGUUGCCAUUAUUCGUCGUUUACAAUUUAAUAAAUAUACUAAGAAAGAGAAACGUAGAAAUAGUGUUGUGGUAUCUAGCAUUUUUACCGGAAUACUUAGCGUAUUCUUGUUCAGUAGUUGUUUGUUGGAAAUUGUGGAAGGGCCAAAAACAGUUUAAAACUGCUUUUAGGAAAAUAUUCAGAAGAGAGGUCUCCCUUGCGGACUAUGAAGAGUUGUUUAUGGUAGAAAAUAAUGUAAAUUCGGACCAAAACAAAUUGUAGAACGGACAAUAAACGUUAAAUAAAAUAAUAUAGGUAUUUAACUGUAUGUACGUCUAGCAAUAUAUCAUUCAGUAAGUUGUUAUUUCAAGUUUGUGCUAUAUGUGUGUAUGGCUUAAUACUUUUCUUGUGCCAUUGCUAAGUAAUAUUUAUGAGGCUGUAUAUCAGCUAUACUCAUAUACAGUGCUAUAAGCUAUUUCUAAGGUUCUUAAAAAUUUUUUCACUUUUUGUGGAUCUUCACUUAUUCUAUUAAAUCAGCUUAUCCCAUUUUUUAUGUUCCUUUGUACUGAAUGCACCCAUCACUUCAUUGGUCAUCCCAUUGUCUUUCAUACUUACAAUAUUAUCUGGAAUCGAAUUCUGAACAUUAUGAAUCCUCUCUUAGGCCAUAUGCCUCUUCACGGUAGGGUAUUAUUUUGUGGGGAUGAGCUUAACAUCAGCUUGCGUUCCCAACAGUUCCAUAUCUUAGCUCCUCUUUUCUCUCUCACUCUCUCUCACUCUCUCCCUCUCUGGGUAUUUCUUUUCUUUUAUAUAGGUAACAGAUACCCCCCCCCCCCCUCUACGCCCUAACUUUCUGUUAAUUUGUGUUUCCAAUAAUUAUUGGUGUUUUCGUUAUCUUUAGUCUUCUUCUACCGAUAUUUUUGAAGAUAUUUCGUAAACUUGUUUCCCAGUUCUACAUCUUUUCUUUUUUCUUGAGUUCUUAGAUCGUGGUCAACUUGGAUACAAUACUUUUAAUCGAAAGAUUGUACUAAACAUCCUUGCUUACUUAAUUCGUGGCGUUGCAAACCUUAGUGGGUUUUAGCUGACUCAACAACAUGCCUCCACUCUUCUCUGUCUUGAGCAAUCUCCAUCCAGUUCUCCACACUCAAAGCUUUCAGGUCCUCUGUUUUAUUAUCUCGCCACCGGAGUCGAGUGUGUCCACGUGAUCUUCUUUCAGUUGGGACUUCCUCCCACACCAGCCUUAUGGUUCUUUGGUUGGAAUGUUUUCUGAGGUGUCCUGCCCAUCGGAGUCUUCAAGACUUCCCAAGUAGCACAAAAAAACAUUUUAGUAUUAUUUAAGGUUUAUAAAGGUUUUAUUGUGGUAACUAAUAAGAUAAUGGUUUUAAAGUUACCUUGUAAUUAUUCUGCCAGAACUUUAAAACUGUUAAGCAUUUGGCCGGUUGUUCGAACGCUAAUCAAAACUGAUCAUUAUCAAAUAUUUAAUUACAAUUAUAUUUGAUUAAGCGUACUUCUGACAGAUAUCGCAUUUUGAGGUUAUGUUGACUGAUUUAUUUUAUUAUUUUGGUUUUAAUUUAAAAUAAAACAUAAUUAAACUCUUUCUGAUGUUAAU